rnacentral:tRNA from 1 species
ACUUGAAUAGCUUAUAUUUAGAGCUUAGCAUUGAAGAUGCUGUUGAGGUGUUUAAUACCUUUAAGUA